AACCUAAUUCCAAAAUCAAAGAAAAUCAGAAACAGAGGCGAGGGGAGAAGAUUCGAAUAUUUACCUGAGCCGUUGUCGUUACUGAAGGUAAACUUUCGUUGGAGGAUUUUUCUUUUUUGAUCUUCGUGUGUAGCUCGCCUUUGGGUCGGGAGGGCGAUGAGAGAGCGAUUAAGAGAAGGCGAUGAGAGAGCGAUUAAGAGAAGGCGAUCGUGAGCGAUUGGGAAGGAGAUUGAGAGAGGCGAGUACGUUUGAGAGAGGGUUAGGAUGAGAAAUGGCAAACGCUUUGAGAGAGGUGAGUGAACGAGCUUUGUGAGAGAGACGAUUCCAUUUUUGUUUUUCUUUCUUUAUUUUUCUUUUUUCAAUUUAUUAUUAAAUAGAGUAUUUAGUUUUAAAAAGACAUUAUUAAAAAAGAUUCCUUUAAUUUUCCUAGGUUAGUUAGUUGAUAAAUGUUUUAGGUUUCCAAUUUAUUCCUCUUGGUAAACCCAACAGCCAUGCGGCUGGGUUUAAUUACUAGCAGACUAAUAGUUCUUUUUCUAUUUAGUUUUUUAUUUUAAUCCUUUUU
rnacentral:lncRNA from 1 species